CCCAUGGGGGCGCCACGGGCCACGUGACCUGACAGGCCGGGAGGGGAGGAGGGGGAAAGGGGGGACGGGACUCGCUGCCCCUCCUGGGGGACCCCGGUGGCGCGGAUCUGCUGGUCAGGAUCACCCGGGCCGGAAGCCGGGGAGCGGAAACUGGCAAAAGUGGUGCGGGCGGACAAUACGGCCGCGCCUUCUCUGGUCCCUGGGUCUGGACAACAGGUGCUCGGCCUGCUCCAGUACUCGGUACUUGGGUACUCACACCCAAAGCGAGCACGGAGUCCCCAGGAAUCACUUGCUCUAAUUUUCACCCUUGGAGUCUGACUGCACACCCUUUAGAAACGUUCCAGCGAGUGGUGCCUCCAGCCCCAAGCGCACUCACCCAGCAUGUCCAGACAGAAGCAAGAUCUAAGUCAUCAUCGCCAGUGGUUUUCGGAGCCAGUUUCCUAACCAAACACAGAAAACGGCUUUCUCCCCCAUAGAAGAUUAAGGAAGGUGCCAGCACCGUGCUGAACGGAGAGGAGCAGUUAGAAUGCCAGCAGUUGGAGGGCCCGUCAAGUGCACAGAGGAGGGUCAGGGCAAGGCCCAUGGGAGCGCCACCCAGCUGUCAUGUCCAGAUCUGGAGCUCCUUCAAGCCAAGGCCUGUGUCUUGCUCACCAUCAUCCCCAGUGCUGG